rnacentral:rRNA from 1 species
GACGAACGCUGGCGGCGUGCUUAACACAUGCAAGUCGUACGGUAAGGCCCUUUCGGGGGUACACGAGUGGCGAACGGGUGAGUAACACGUGAGUAACCUGCCCACAACUUUGGGAUAACGCUAGGAAACUGGUGCUAAUACUGGAUAUGUGCUCCUGCUGCAUGGUGGGGGUUGGAAAGCUCCGGCGGUUGUGGAUGGACUCGCGGCCUAUCAGCUUGUUGGUGGGGUAGUGGCCUACCAAGGCGGCGACGGGUAGCCGGCCUGAGAGGGUGACCGGCCACAUUGGGACUGAGAUACGGCCCAGACUCCUACGGGAGGCAGCAGUGGGGAAUAUUGCACAAUGGGCGCAAGCCUGAUGCAGCAACGCCGCGUGCGGGAUGACGGCCUUCGGGUUGUAAACCGCUUUCAGCAGGGACGAAGCUUUUUGUGACGGUACCUUCAGAAGAAGCACCGGCUAACUACGUG